UUAAAUUGAAGAGUUUGAUCAUGGCUCAGAUUGAACGCUGGCGGCAGGCCUAACACAUGCAAGUCGAACGGUAACAGAAAGCAGCUUGCUGCUUUGCUGACGAGUGGCGGACGGGUGAGUAAUGUCUGGGAAACUGCCUGAUGGAGGGGGAUAACUACUGGAAACGGUAGCUAAUACCGCAUAACGUCGCAAGACCAAAGAGGGGGACCUUCGGGCCUCUUGCCAUCGGAUGUGCCCAGAUGGGAUUAGCUAGUAGGUGGGGUAAAGGCUCACCUAGGCGACGAUCCCUAGCUGGUCUGAGAGGAUGACCAGCCACACUGGAACUGAGACACGGUCCAGACUCCUACGGGAGGCAGCAGUGGGGAAUAUUGCACAAUGGGCGCAAGCCUGAUGCAGCCAUGCCGCGUGUAUGAAGAAGGCCUUCGGGUUGUAAAGUACUUUCAGCGGGGAGGAAGGGAGUAAAGUUAAUACCUUUGCUCAUUGACGUUACCCGCAGAAGAAGCACCGGCUAACUCCGUGCCAGCAGCCGCGGUAAUACGGAGGGUGCAAGCGUUAAUCGGAAUUACUGGGCGUAAAGCGCACGCAGGCGGUUUGUUAAGUCAGAUGUGAAAUCCCCGGGCUCAACCUGGGAACUGCAUCUGAUACUGGCAAGCUUGAGUCUCGUAGAGGGGGGUAGAAUUCCAGGUGUAGCGGUGAAAUGCGUAGAGAUCUGGAGGAAUACCGGUGGCGAAGGCGGCCCCCUGGACGAAGACUGACGCUCAGGUGCGAAAGCGUGGGGAGCAAACAGGAUUAGAUACCCUGGUAGUCCACGCCGUAAACGAUGUCGACUUGGAGGUUGUGCCCUUGAGGCGUGGCUUCCGGAGCUAACGCGUUAAGUCGACCGCCUGGGGAGUACGGCCGCAAGGUUAAAACUCAAAUGAAUUGACGGGGGCCCGCACAAGCGGUGGAGCAUGUGGUUUAAUUCGAUGCAACGCGAAGAACCUUACCUGGUCUUGACAUCCACGGAAGUUUUCAGAGAUGAGAAUGUGCCUUCGGGAACCGUGAGACAGGUGCUGCAUGGCUGUCGUCAGCUCGUGUUGUGAAAUGUUGGGUUAAGUCCCGCAACGAGCGCAACCCUUAUCCUUUGUUGCCAGCGGUCCGGCCGGGAACUCAAAGGAGACUGCCAGUGAUAAACUGGAGGAAGGUGGGGAUGACGUCAAGUCAUCAUGGCCCUUACGACCAGGGCUACACACGUGCUACAAUGGCGCAUACAAAGAGAAGCGAUCUCGCGAGAGCAAGCGGACCUCAUAAAGUGCGUCGUAGUCCGGAUUGGAGUCUGCAACUCGACUCCAUGAAGUCGGAAUCGCUAGUAAUCGUGGAUCAGAAUGCCACGGUGAAUACGUUCCCGGGCCUUGUACACACCGCCCGUCACACCAUGGGAGUGGGUUGCAAAAGAAGUAGGUAGCUUAACCUUCGGGAGGGCGCUUACCACUUUGUGAUUCAUGACUGGGGUGAAGUCGUAACAAGGUAACCGUAGGGGAACCUGCGGUUGGAUCACCUCCUUACCUUAAAGAAGC
rnacentral:rRNA from 1 species